rnacentral:tRNA from 1 species
GGCCCGAUGGUCAAGCGGUCAAGACACGGCCCUCUCACGGCUGAAACAGGGGUUCGAUUCCCCUUCGGGUCA